UGGGGAAUAUUGCACAAUGGGCGCAAGCCUGAUGCAGCCAUGCCGCGUGUAUGAAGAAGGCCUUCGGGUUGUAAAGUACUUUCAGCGAGGAGGAAGGCGUUAAGGUUAAUAACCUUGGCGAUUGACGUUACUCGCAGAAGAAGCACCGGCUAACUCCGUGCCAGCAGCCGCGGUAAUACGGAGGGUGCAAGCGUUAAUCGGAAUUACUGGGCGUAAAGCGCACGCAGGCGGUCUGUUAAGUCAGAUGUGAAAUCCCCGGGCUCAACCUGGGAACUGCAUUUGAAACUGGCAGGCUUGAGUCUUGUAGAGGGGGGUAGAAUUCCAGGUGUAGCGGUGAAAUGCGUAGAGAUCUGGAGGAAUACCGGUGGCGAAGGCGGCCCCCUGGACAAAGACUGACGCUCAGGUGCGAAAGCGUGGGGCAGCAAACAGGAUUAGAUACCCUGGUAGUCCACGCUGUAAACGAUGUCGACUUGGAGGUUGUUCCCUUGAGGAGUGGCUUCCGGAGCUAACGCGUUAAGUCGACCGCCUGGGGAGUACGGCCGCAAGGUUAAAAC
rnacentral:rRNA from 1 species